UACGUAGGGUGCAAGCGUUGUCCGGAAUUAUUGGGCGUAAAGAGCUCGUAGGCGGUCUGUCGCGUCUGGUGUGAAAAUCCAGGGCUUAACCCUGGACCUGCAUCGGGUACGGGCAGACUAGAGUGCGGUAGGGGAGAUCGGAAUUCCUGGUGUAGCGGUGAAAUGCGUAGAUAUCAGGAGGAACACCGGUGGUGUAAACGGCUUUCUGGACCAUAACUGACGCUGAGGCACGAAAGCGUGGGUAGCAAACAGG
rnacentral:rRNA from 1 species